GCGGUCGCCUCAAUAGUGGGGCGCUCCGAUGGUAACAUCGGAGGCAAACUCGGCUAUAUGCUGGGAAGUCCGUCCCCUCACCCAAAGCCGCACCUCCGUGCUUUGGAGAAGGGGUGCAGAAUCCAGCGCUAGUGGCGCAUGCGCCACUGAAAAUGCGACUGGUGCGGACAAUCAGCAGGGAAGUCUUCGUGACCCCUCAACGACUGUACGCCGAGCAUCCACGCCAGUGGAUGGUGAGACAGUCUGAACUUCCGGGCGACCGGAAG
rnacentral:ncRNA from 1 species